rnacentral:rRNA from 1 species
GGUUANGUAGGCCUAACACAUGCAAGUCGAACGGCACGCACAGGAGAGCUAUGCUCUCAUGGGAUGGCGAAGUGGCAGGACGGGUGAAGGAAUACACUCGGAAUCUACUCUGUCGUGGCGGGAUAACAUGUAAGAGCGAAACAUAUACAGCUUAAACAUACCAGCAAUACGACCAUACGAGGUGAAAGACAAGGGNGAAUCUUCAGGGAACCUUGCG